AAAAACCUACAGGAUGGGGAAAAACAUCCAGCUCAGGCAGGGCUCGGCCUCCCACGCUCACUGGGAACGGCCGCCGCAGUGCCGCAGGGCAGUCACGUCACCCGCUCCGGGUGCUCCGCAGGAGAAAUGACCAGGUCCCUUUCCAUGAGAACCCCCCGCCGCCGCCUCUCAUGCCUCCGCUGUGGUGACAUGAGUGAGGCCUCGAAGGAAAGCUCCCUGCAGCCACCUCGGCCCCAAAAGCAGCAAUGCAGGAUCCGACUCCUGUGCAUGUCUACGAGCAGCCCCCAGGCUUCAGUGGGGAGGAGGAAGGAGCCCCAGGGCUGGCAAAUCUCUGCAACCCCCUGGAGUGGUGAGCGACUGCCAUGCCAGCACACAAACCCCCACCUGCCUAACCUGAGUGCCCAGGGGAGAACUGGUCAGCCUUGGGGCUGACCCCCUGGAGAAGGAGGCAGGGAGCGGGCAGGGGUCCCGCGGAGCAGCCCCCGCGGCCGAGCCAGCGGCAGCGUGCUGACCUCCGUUUCUCCGGUAGGCUGGCAGCUCGCACGGGCUCGGCUCCGGCUGGGCGUCCUCCUCGGACCUGGCCUGCAGGACGGUCACCGUGGCCCCCGUCUGCUGAAUAAACUGCUGCAAAUUA